CGCCCCUUCUCGGCUGUCAGCGCCUCUGGCCUCCCACCUCCUCCCUGUUACCCACGACCCUCUUGACUCCACUUGCUCUUUUCCUCAUAGCAGAACCCCCGAACGAGUUCUGGACAGGGCACCAUAAAUAAAACCCAGCCACCAGGUUUCCCAAGCCUGGCAUUUGAAGACUAAGGCACAUGGUUAGAUAUUCACUCAUUAGAAACAUGAUACAGGUAUAAAGAAACCUUCACCUGACCAGCGUUCUGGCCACCCCAGGACCACCAUGACCGGCUGUGUGGGUUGUGCACUGCUCAAGACCAGAGGGCAUGAUUUCCGUGACUGUGAGGUUAACGGUGUCUCCUGGAGUGCCGUGGUGGGACGACCCUCCUACCCAUAAUUUCCUUGAUCUCCUCUCCCCAGUUCUUUCUGUUCGGUAGAUCCUGACGUGGUGACUGAUGAAGAAACUGAUGCUCAGGGAGAUGAAGUAAAAUGCUUAAUUUUACAGAGUUAAUUUACUAGUUCUCACAAGUGAUGGAAUCGGCAUUCAAGCCUAGUUUUGCCCAAGUCCAAACCCUGCAACACAGUCCAGCCUCCAGACUGGAUGAUAAAGUGGACAUUGAUUCUGGUGACUUCGGGGAGAGGAGACGGAAAUAGAGCGACCGGUGCCUUACUCAGAAAUGUGUGUUUUUGUACAUGUCACUUUUUAAAACAGAUUUUUAAAAAACUAAUUGAUUAAUUAAUUUUA